CCGGAUUGCAGGCUGCAACUCGCCUGCAUGAAGUUGGAAUUGCUAGUAAUCNCGGAUCAGCAUGCCGCGGUGAAUACGUUCCCGGGCCUUGUACACACCGCCCGUCACACCAUGGGAGCCGGUAAUACCCGAAGUCAGUAGCCUAACCGCAAGGGGGGCGCUGCCGAAGGUAGGAUUGGCGACUGGGGUGAAGUCGUAACAAGGUAGC
rnacentral:rRNA from 1 species